rnacentral:rRNA from 1 species
AUGAGCUGGAAUGUGCGUGUUAUGAAUCUCCCAGCCAAGAGAGCCACCAUUUGCGAAAUUGCAGAGUCACACAGGUUAGCGAUCCUCUGUCUGCAAGAAACCAAGAUCGAGAUGUGGAACAGGGACAUUAUGAAGGAAGUAGGAGGGGCUGCAAUGGCUAACUGCAUUGGGCUGCCGGCCAUUGGCACUAGAGGAGGGGCUGCAAUCUUUUGGAACAACAGCAUGGUCUCUGUUGUAUCUCACGCGAUCGGCCAAUUCGCCAUUACAACCAAGGUGACGGUACUGCCCACUGCAAUUUCCUUCUGGCUAACAACGGUGUAUGGUCCCUCGGACGAUGCCCGAAAAGACGACUUCCUCCAUGAGAUUGUUGCGAAUGCCCCUCCGGUGUUAGAGCCUUGGCUUAUAAAUGGAGAUUUCAACAUUAUCUACGAGGCUAGAGAUAAGAACAACCUGAAUUUAAAUAGGAGAAUCAUGGGUAGGUUUCGAGCAGCAUUAGAUGUAGCUGAGCUUUGA